CGAUUCCAAGUGUGUUGACUCCCAGGCCGCUCAUGAAGCAACGCUUACCGCUCUCGUACCCGCGUUGGCAGGUGCCAACAUGAUCUACGGUA
rnacentral:ncRNA from 1 species